ACGUAGGGUGCGAGCGUUAAUCGGAAUUACUGGGCGUAAAGCGUGCGCAGGCCGUUUUGCAAGACAGGCGUGAAAUCCCCGGGCUCAACCUGGGAACUGCGUUUGUGACUGCAAGACUAGAGUACGGCAGAGGGGGGUAGAAUUCCACGUGUAGCAGUGAAAUGCGUAGAGAUGUGGAGGAAUACCGAUGGCGAAGGCAGCCCCCUGGGCCAGUACUGACGCUCAUGCACGAAAGCGUGGGGAGCAAACAGGAUUAGAUACCCUGGUAGUCCACGCCCUAAACGAUGUCAACUAGGUGUUGGGUGGGUAAAACCAUUUAGUACCGGAGCUAACGCGUGAAGUUGACCGCCUGGGGAGUACGGCCGCAAGGUUA
rnacentral:rRNA from 1 species